UACGAAGGGGCUAGCGUUGUUCGGAAUUACUGGGCGUAAAGCGCGCGCAGGCGGUCUUCCAAGUCAGUGGUGAAAGCCCGGAGCUCAACUCCGGAACUGCCAUUGAAACUGUGAGACUUGAGGAUGAGAGAGGUGAGUGGAAUUCCCAGUGUAGAGGUGAAAUUCGUAGAUAUUGGGAAGAACACCGGUGGCGAAGGCGGCUCACUGGCUCAGUUUCUGACGCUCAGGCGCGACAGCGUGGGAUCAAACAGG
rnacentral:rRNA from 1 species